ACCAGGCGCUGUGGGCGGAGCUGGAGCUGCUGAAAUCGAAUUUUUCGGCUGUUCUGGAUUCCCUGCAGCAGGAGCAGACCCGGCUCCAUUUCGGGAUCCGGCAGCACCAACUGGAGCAGGAGGAGCAGGCCGAUUUGCUGUGCCGGGCCCUGGGCAGCUCCCGGCGCUGCGGGGCCGUUUCCUGGGUUUAUUCCAGGAUCAGUUCCCCAAUUCCCGGGGAUUUUUCCAUGGGAUUUUUUGGGGAUUUUUCCAUGGAGUUUUUCCCGGAUUUUUUGGGCUCAUUCCCUGUUUUCCCAGAUUUGCUGUGCCGGGCCCUGGGCAGCUCCCGGCGCUGCGGGCCGGGCUGGCGCUCCCACGCCGGCUCCUGUUAUUCCUUCUGCCGGCUUUUCCCGGGGAUUUUUCCAUGGAAUUUUUCGGGGAUUUUUCCAUGGAAUUUUUCCCGGAUUUUUUGGGAUAAUUCCGUGUUUUUCCCAGAUUUGCUGUGCCGGGCCCUGGGCAGCUCCCGGCGCUGCGGGGCCGUUUCCUGGGGUUUAUUCCAGGAUCAUUUCCCCAUUUCCCGGGGAUUUUUCCAUGGAAUUUUUUGGGGAUUUUUCCAGGGGAUUUUUCCAUGGAAUUUUUCCGGGAUUUUUUGGGAUCAUUCCCUGUUUUCCCAGAUUUGCUGUGCCGGGCCCUGGGCAGCUCCCGGCGCUGCGGGGCCGUUUCCCGGGGUUUAUUCCAGGAUCAUUUCCCCAAUUCCCGGGGAUUUUUUCCAUGGAAUUUUUUUGGGAUUUUUUAGGGAUAUUUUUCCAGGUUUUCCGUGUUUUUCCCAGAUUUGCUGUGCCGGGCCCUGGGCAGCUCCCGGCGCUGCGGGCCGGGCUGGCGCUCCCACGCCGGCUCCUGUUAUUCCUUCUCGGGGCUGGCGCUGAGCUGGGGCCGCGCCCGCGCCGCCUGCGAGGACCUGGGGGCGCAGCUGGCCGUGGUCAGCGACGAGGCCGAGCAGCUUUUCCUGGUGCAGAACAGCAACCGCAGCAGCUCCUACUGGCUGGGGGUGACGGACGCGGAGCAGGAGGGGAAAUGGCGCUGGGUCAACGGCGAGGAGCCGCAGAUCGGGUUUUGGGACGUGUGGCUGCAGGAGGAGCAGCAGGAGCUGAAGGAUUGCGGCGCCCUGGGGCCCAAAGGGCGCUGGGUGAGCGCGGCCUGUGCGGAGCCGCUGCGCUGGGUCUGCGAGAGGCCCGGACACUGCUGAAAUUCCCUUUUUUUCACCCAAAAAUUCCCCCCAAAAUGAAAAAAAAACUCCCUAAAAAUCCCUCAAAAAUUCCGCAAAAAACCCGGCAAAAAUCCCCCAAAAAUCCCUCAAAAAAUACUGUUUUUAUUAAAGAAUUUGUGCCAAAAAAUCUGAAUUUUUUUUAAGGAUUUGUGUCAAAAAUCCCGCAAAAAAUGCCGAUUUUAUUCAGGGUUUUUUAUUGCUAAAAAAUCCAAUUUUUAAAAGGAUUUUCAGCCAAAAAUCCCCAAAAAAUCCCCAAGAAAUCCCCCCAAAAAUCCCCCCCAAAAAAUCACAAAAAUAUCCCUUAAAAAAUCCCCAAAAAUUACCAAAAAAUACCAAAUAAACUCAAAAAAAAUCCACAAAAAUCCAAAAAACAUCCCAAAACAUCCCCUAAAAAUCCCCCAAAAAUACCAAAACCCCAAAAAAAAUCCCCCCAAAAUCCCAAAAAUACCCCAAAAAUACCUCCAAAAAAUCUAAAAAUUACCUUAAAAAAUCCCCCCCCAAAAUACUAAAAAAUCAAAAAAAAAUCCCGAAAGAAUCCCCAAAGAUCCCCAAAAAUCCCCAAAAAAAUCACCAAAAAAUCCCCAAAAAACUCAAAAAAUCGCAAAAAAAUCCCUCCAAAAAUCAAAAAAAAAUCCCCCCCAAAAAAAUCCAAAAAAAUCCCCAAAUAAUCCCUUAAAAAAAAAUCACAAAAAAAUUCCCAAAACUCAAAAAAAUCCUAAAAAAAAUCCCAAAAAAUCCCCCAAAAUCCCCCAAAAAUUCCGAUUUUUAAAGGGAUUUUUUCCAAAAAUCACAAAUAACGCCAAAAACGUCCAAAAAUCCCAAAUCCUCCUAAAUUAACCCCAAAUCCACCCAAAAAAUACAAAUCGCUCCUCAAAAAAUACCCAAAAUAUCUCAAAUCAUGCCAAGUCUUCUGAAAAUGACCCCAAAAAUGUCGAAAAACCCCAAAUCCCUCCCCAAAAACCCCAAAUCCACCCAAAAUAACCCCAAAAAUCCCUAAAUCCACCCAAAAUAACCCAAAAACCACCCAAAAGACCCCAAAAGAUCCCAAAAAUCCUCAAAUCACUCCCAAAAAAACCCCAAAUCAAGCCAAAAUGACCCAAAUCCACUCAAAAUAACCCCAAAUCCCCAAAUCGAGCCCAAAACCCCCCCAAAAUCCCCAAAUCCUCCCCAAAUCCACCCAAAAUAACCCCAAAUCCACCCAAAAUAACCCCAAAAAUCCCCAAAUCAACCCAAAAUAACCCAAAAACCACCCAAAAGACCCCAAAAGGUCCCAAAAAUCCUCAAAUCCCUCCCAAAAAAACCCAAAUCAAGCCAAAAUGACCCAAAUCCUCCCCAAAUAACCCCAAAACCGCCCCAAAAAAUCCAAAUCCCUCCCAAAAAAAACCACCAAGAGAUCCCAAAAAACCCCAAAUCCUCCCAAAUUAACCCGAAAACAGCAGGAAACGUGAGGGGAAAUGGCGGGAAACUGAGGAGAAAAUGGCGGGAAACUGGGGGGGAAAAGGCGGGAAACGUGACGGAGAAAAGGGCGGGAAAUGUGAGGAGGGAAAAUGGCCGGAAAAGUGAGGGGAAAAUGGCGGGAAUUGUGAGGGGAAAGGGUGGGAAAUGUGAGGGGAAAAUGGCGGAAAACGUGAGGGGGGGAAAAGAUGGGAAAUUUGAGGGGGGAAAGGGUGGGAAACUGAGGAGAAAAUGAUGGGAAAAGUGAGGAGAAAAUGGCGGGAAAUGUGAGGAGAAAAGGGUGGGAAACGUGACAGGGAAAAGGGUGGGAAAUGUGAGGAGAAAAGGGCGGGAAAUGUGAGGGAGAAAAUGGUGGAAAAAGUGAGGGGAAAGGGCGGGAAAAGUGAGGGGGAAAUGGCAGAAAAUGGGAGGGGGAAAAUGGCGGGAAAUGUGAGGGGGAAAAGGUGGAAAAAGUGAGGGGAAAGGACGGGAAAUGUGAAGGGAAAAUGGUGGGAAAUGUGAGGGGGAAAGAUGGGAAAUAUGAGGGGGAAAAGUGAGGGGAAUGUGAGGGGGAAAAUGGCGGGAAAUGUGAGGAGAAAAUGGCGGGAAGUGUGAGGGGAAAAUGGUGGGAAAUGUGAGGGGAAAGGGUGGGAAAAGUGAGGAGAAAAUGGCAGAAAUGGGAGGGGGAAAUGGCGGGAAAAGUGAGGGGAAAAUGGCGGGAAAUGUGAGGGAAAAUGGCGGGAAAUGUGAGGGGAAAAUGGCAGGAAAUGUGAGGGGAAAAGGGCAGGAAAUGUGAGGGGAAAGGGUGGGAAAAUUGAGGAGAAAAUGGCAGAAAAUGGGAGGGGGAAAUGGCAGGAAAUGUCAGGGGAAAAUGGUGGGAAAUGUGAGGGGAAAGGGCGGGAAAUGUGAGGGGAAAAUGGCGGGAAAUGCGAGGGAAAAUGGCGGGAAAUGUGAGGGGAAAAGGGUGGGAAACGUGAGGGGAAAGGGCGGGAAAACUGAGGGGAAAAGGCGGGAAAUGUGAGGGGAAAAAUGGCGGAAAAUGUGAGGGGAAAAUGGCGGGAAACAUGAGGGGGAAAAGAUGGGAAAUAUGAGGGGGGAAAGGGAUGGAAAUGUGAGGGGGAAAAUGGCGGUAAAUGUGAGGGGAAAAGGCGGGAAAUUUGAGGGGGAAAGGGGUGGGAAACUGAGGAGAAAAUGGUGGGAAAAGUGAGGGGGAAAAGGCGGGAAAUGCGAGGAAAAAUGGCGGGAAAUGUGAGGAGAAAAGGGUGGGAAACGUGACAGGGAAAAGGGUGGGAAAUG
ensembl:lncRNA